rnacentral:rRNA from 1 species
AGAGUUUGAUCAUGGCUCAGGACGAACGCUGGCGGCGUGCUUAACACAUGCAAGUCGAACGGAAAGGCCCUUCGGGGUGCUCGAGUGGCGAACGGGUGAGUAACACGUGGGUGAUCUGCCCUGCACUUUGGGAUAAGCCUGGGAAACUGGGUCUAAUACCGAAUAGGACUGCGCUCUUCAUGGGGUGUGGUGGAAAGCUUUUGCGGUGUGGGAUGGGCCCGCGGCCUAUCAGCUUGUUGGUGGGGUAAUGGCCUACCAAGGCGACGACGGGUAGCCGGCCUGAGAGGGUGACCGGCCACACUGGGACUGAGAUACGGCCCAGACUCCUACGGGAGGCAGCAGUGGGGAAUAUUGCACAAUGGGCGCAAGCCUGAUGCAGCGACGCCGCGUGAGGGAUGACGGCCUUCGGGUUGUAAACCUCUUUCAGCACAGACGAAGCGCGAGUGACGGUAUGUGCAGAAGAAGGACCGGCCAACUACGUGCCAGCAGCCGCGGUAAUACGUAGGGUCCGAGCGUUGUCCGGAAUUACUGGGCGUAAAGAGCUCGUAGGUGGUUUGUCGCGUUGUUCGUGAAAACUCACUGCUUAACUGUGGGCGUGCGGGCGAUACGGGCAGACUGGAGUACUGCAGGGGAGACUGGAAUUCCUGGUGUAGCGGUGGAAUGCGCAGAUAUCAGGAGGAACACCGGUGGCGAAGGCGGGUCUCUGGGCAGUAACUGACGCUGAGGAGCGAAAGCGUGGGGAGCGAACAGGAUUAGAUACCCUGGUAGUCC